rnacentral:rRNA from 1 species
UACGGGGGGGGCAAGCGUUGUCCGGAAUUACUGGGCGUAAAGAGCUCGUAGGUGGUUUGUCGCGUUGUUCGUGAAAUUCCCUGGCUUAACUGGGGGCGUGCGGGCGAUACGGGCAGACUGGAGUACUGCAGGGGAGACUGGAAUUCCUGGUGUAGCGGUGGAAUGCGCAGAUAUCAGGAGGAACACCGGUGGCGAAGGCGGGUCUCUGGGCAGUAACUGACGCUGAGGAGCGAAAGCGUGGGGAGCGAACAGG